rnacentral:rRNA from 1 species
GCCAGCGGCGAUAGUAUGUUGAAUACACAGUUCCCAAUGGAUCAUUGAAGUUAAGCAACGUUACACGUGGUUGGUAUCUGCAUGGGUGACCAUAUGGACAAUUGCAUUCUACUAGCU